rnacentral:tmRNA from 1 species
GGGGACGAGUGGUUUCGACAGGGGGAAUGGGCGAUCCGGGAUUGCAGGCCGAGGUUCCCAUCGACCUCGCUAAACAGGUGGGGAACAAAAGUAACCGACGAUAAAGUUUUGGUUGCUGCCUAAUUAACUUAGGCACGUUCAACUUUACCUAUCCCUGGCUGGUAGGGAUUGGACGACGAAAAGCCGGGGUGCUGCAAUCCUGAUGACGAUAGGGGAGGCCUAAGACAAAAUCGUCUAGCCUGGUCAGACUUUGCCAGUUGAGGCUGAUCAGGCAAAAUAAAAAGCUGGCUAAGCUUGUAGUAAAUCCCGGACGGAUUUCUUUUGGACGGGGAGUUCGACUCUCCCCCGUCUCCACCA